UGCUUUUGGAAAAGCGGAGAUCAAAGCUGGGGAUCGUAAGACCUGGCGCUUGAAGAGGGGCCCGCGCCUGAUUAGCUAGUUGGUAGGGUAACGGCCUACCAAGGCAACGAUCAGUAUCCGGCCUGAGAGGGCGGACGGACACACUGGGACUGAGACACGGCCCAGACUCCUACGGGAGGCAGCAGUGGGGAAUUGUUCGCAAUGGGCGCAAGCCUGACGACGCAACGCCGCGUGGAGGACGAAGAUCUUCGGGUCGUAAACUCCUGUCGAGUGGGAAGAAUGCUUCGGGGGUGAAUAGCCCCCGGAAUUGACGGUACCACUAAA
rnacentral:rRNA from 1 species